GGUCGGGUCCGGUGACUGGUGGUCCGUGAACCCCGCCAGGUCCGGAAGGAAGCAACGGUGUCGGUCCCAUCGGGGCACCGGGAAACCCGGCCAUC
rnacentral:SRP_RNA from 1 species